UGGCCAUGCCACUCUGAGAGAUGUCUA
rnacentral:piRNA from 1 species